rnacentral:rRNA from 1 species
UACGUAGGGUGCAAGCGUUGUCCGGAAUUAUUGGGCGUAAAGAGCUCGUAGGCGGUUUGUCGCGUCGAAUGUGAAAACCCGGGGCUCAACCCCGGGCCUGCAUUCGAUACGGGCAGACUAGAGGUAUGCAGGGGAGAACGGAAUUCCUGGUGUAGCGGUGAAAUGCGCAGAUAUCAGGAGGAACACCGGUGGCGAAGGCGGUUCUCUGGGCAUUACCUGACGCUGAGGAGCGAAAGUGUGGGGAGCGAACAGG